rnacentral:lncRNA from 1 species
GCUGAAUCACACAGGGACAGAGAGCUGGAGAGUGUGAGAGCCUGUGUGCUUAGUGUGUGUUUCUCAGUAGAGUGAAUGAUAAGGACUACAGCUCCACUUUCUUCUGCACUGGAGGCUUUUUAACUGGAUUUUACCUCCACUAAGUCAGCGUUUGAUGCUGGAUUGUGCUCCUGCUGUCAGCCUCAGUGUCCAACAUAGCAGUGCAGAUGCAGCUGCUUGUCUCACUUCGCCUGAGGUCUUGCCACAGGAAAGACUUCCGCCUGUCAUCUUCACUCAAGGACAGUUUCCUAAUCCAGGACAUGGUUUCCUAAAGGAUACGACCACCAACGCAUCACAAGGCUUA